AUUCUGACUACUGAUAUUUGGGUGCCAAACUUUCGUCACGAACUGCAUUUUAGGAGGUUCAAAAGGAUAACCACUAGGGAGUUUGAUGUCGAUCCUGAAGGUGCCGCCCUCGUAGGGCGUGCCGACGGGGCCCGAGAUGGUGCCGGAGAAGUGGGAGAGGCUGGCGGCGCCGGCGCCGGCAGGCUCGAGGCUGACGCCGGAGACCGCCGUGUCGCGGUUGCAUUCCUUCAGCUCCUUCUGAACCCUCGUGGCGUCCAUCAUCUUCAGAUCGAGAGGAGGAGGAGAAGUGCGGUCGAG
rnacentral:misc_RNA from 1 species